UGGGGAAUUUUGGACAAUGGGCGCAAGCCUGAUCCAGCCAUUCCGCGUGAGUGAAGAAGGCCUUCGGGUUGUAAAGCUCUUUCGCAAGGGAAGAAAACUUAACCUCUAACAUAGGUUGAGGCUGACGGUACCUUGAUAAGAAGCACCGGCUAACUACGUGCCAGCAGCCGCGGUAAUACGUAGGGUGCGAGCGUUAAUCGGAAUUACUGGGCGUAAAGCGUGCGCAGGCGGCCUGAUAAGUCAGAUGUGAAAUCCCCGAGCUCAACUUGGGAACUGCGUUUGAAACUAUCAAGCUAGAAUAUGUCAGAGGGGGGUAGAAUUCCACGUGUAGCAGUGAAAUGCGUAGAGAUGUGGAGGAAUACCAAUGGCGAAGGCAGCCCCCUGGGAUAAUAUUGACGCUCAUGCACGAAAGCGUGGGGAGCAAACA
rnacentral:rRNA from 1 species